rnacentral:rRNA from 1 species
GACGAACGCUGGCGGCGUGCUUAACACAUGCAAGUCGAACGCUGAAGCUUGGUGCUUGCACUGGGUGGAUGAGUGGCGAACGGGUGAGUAAUACGUGAGUAACCUGCUCUUGACUCUGGGAUAAGCCUGGGAAACUGGGUCUAAUACUGGAUACGACAUGUCACCGCAUGGUGGUGUGUGGAAAGGGUUUUACUGGUUUUGGAUGGGCUCACGGCCUAUUAGCUUGUUGGUGGGGUAAUGGCUCACCAAGGCGACGACGGGUAGCCGGCCUGAGAGGGUGACCGGCCACACUGGGACUGAGACACGGCCCAGACUCCUACGGGAGGCAGCAGUGGGGAAUAUUGCACAAUGGGCGGAAGCCUGAUGCAGCGACGCCGCGUGAGGGAUGACGGCCUUCGGGUUGUAAACCUCUUUCAGCACGGAAGAAGCGAAAGUGACGGUACGUGCAGAAGAAGCGCCGGCUAACUACGUG